rnacentral:rRNA from 1 species
UAUACAUGCAGUCGAGCGAACAGAAGGGAGCUUGCUCCCGGAUGUUAGCGGCGGACGGGUGAGUAACACGUGGGUAACCUGCCUGUAAGACUGGGAUAACUCCGGGAAACCGGAGCUAAUACCGGAUAGUUCCUUGAACCGCAUGGUUCAAGGAUGAAAGACGGUUUCGGCUGUCACUUACAGAUGGACCCGCGGCGCAUUAGCUAGUUGGUGGGGUAAUGGCUCACCAAGGCGACGAUGCGUAGCCGACCUGAGAGGGUGAUCGGCCACACUGGGACUGAGACACGGCCCAGACUCCUACGGGAGGCAGCAGUAGGGAAUCUUCCGCAAUGGACGAAAGUCUGACGGAGCAACGCCGCGUGAGUGAUGAAGGUUUUCGGAUCGUAAAGCUCUGUUGUUAGGGAAGAACAAGUGCGAGAGUAACUGCUCGCACCUUGACGGUACCUAACCAGAAAGCCACGGCUAACUACGUGCCAGCAGCCGCGGUAAUACGUAGGUGGCAAGCGUUGUCCGGAAUUAUUGGGCGUAAAGGGCUCGCAGGCGGUUUCUUAAGUCUGAUGUGAAAGCCCCCGGCUCAACCGGGGAGGGUCAUUGGAAACUGGGAAACUUGAGUGCAGAAGAGGAGAGUGGAAUUCCACGUGUAGCGGUGAAAUGCGUAGAGAUGUGGAGGAACACCAGUGGCGAAGGCGACUCUCUGGUCUGUAACUGACGCUGAGGAGCGAAAGCGUGGGG